GACGAACGCUGGCGGCGUGCUUAACACAUGCAAGUCGAACGAAGUGGCGAACGGGUGAGUAACGCGUAAUCAACCUGCCCUUCAGAGGGGCACAACAGUUGAAAACGACUGCUAAUACCGCAUACUGAAGGCGGGGCUUGCGUGUGAUUAGGUAGUGGGAGGGGUAACGGCCCACCAAGGCGAGGGUCAGUAGCCGGUCUUGGGGGAGGAACGGCCAAAUUGGGACUGGGACAAGGCCCAGACUCCUACGGGGGGCAGCAGUGGGGAAUCUUCCGGAAUGGGAGAAAGUCUGAAGGAGCAACGCCGCGUGAGUGAUGACGGCCUUCGGGUUGUAAAGAUCUGUUAAUCGGGACGCGGUACCGGAAUAGAAAGCCACGGCUAACUACGUGCCAGCAGCCGCGGUAAUAC
rnacentral:rRNA from 1 species